AGCUGCCCUGCCUGCACUCCAGACGUGCUUGCCGUCUCAGUUGAUGGAAACUGUAAGCUUUAUCGCUUUCAAUCUAAUGCAAGCACUUCAGAGCAGGGGAACUUUGAAGGUGUUUUCAUUCAAAAAGAUGAGGAAGUUGCUGAGUUUAUGAAAUACAUCCAGAGACACACAAAUGAGGUGGCUCAGCUGAGGAACCUCUUGUCAAUGCGUCCUUUUCUCUCCGUCAUGCAUGCAAAGGCUCUCAUUUGGAAAUGCGAGAUCAAAUGGGGAGGUGCGUUUCAGGAUGGGGCCGGUUCUACAGUUGGAAAAGAGGUGGGACAAGUAAACAGUUUCCUGUCUAGGGCGGCCAUUGAAGUACAUGUCUAAAGCAGGGCGAACAGACAUGCUGACCCUCCUGGCUUUGGGGUGGAACAAAAGGAAAGUGGAACAACUGGGCCGCAGUUUGAGCCAGAGAUAUCUCAAGAUCAUAAGGAUCCUUAGAGAACAAAUGGAGAGCCUGAAUGCGACCAAAAAUGAGCUGGGUGUGGAUGACGACACACGGCAGCAAUGGGUGGCCGAUGUGCAGAAAUGGGCUUAAGAAACUGAUCAAACUGAUGGCAGCCUUGGUGCGUUGCAGGCACGAAUAGAGGAGCUUGUCGUCAUCAUCAGAGUGCGAACACAAAGUCUUUACAGACAAAAUGGUGUCACAGUUUCUUUGAAAUGGACCGUUUGAUGCUCAGUUUGUACAGCUUGUACAGCUACUUUGUAAACAGAAUAAAAUCAGAUCCAGGUUUGUUUAAUCUGGAUGUGAUGCGUGUUCUAGCAAACAAAUUGAUGAGUGUAGAUUAAAAUGUAAAUAUAUACAUUAU